GAGAGUUUGAUCCUGGCUCAGAACGAACACUGGCGGCGUGGUUUAGGCAUGCAAGUCGAACGUGAAAGUCCCUUCGGGGAUUAGUACAGUGGCGAACGGGUGAGUAACGGGUGGAAAACCUGCCCUUCAAUGGGGGAUAACAGUUCUAACGAGCUGCUAAUACCGCAUACGACCUUAGGAUCGCAUGAUCUCUAGGUGAAAGGUGGCGAUCUCUUCGGAGAGCUGCCGUUGAAGGAUGGUUCCGCCUCCCAUUAGCUUGUUGGUGGGGUAAUGGCCUACCAAGGCGACGAUGGGUAGCCGGCCUGAGAGGGUGUCCGGCCACACUGGGACUGAGAUACGGCCCAGACUCCUACGGGAGGCAGCAGUCGAGAAGCUUCCGCAAUGGGGGAAACCCUGACGGAGCGACGCCGCGUGAGUGAAGAAGGCCCUAUGGGUUGUAAAACUCUGUCAGAUUGGGAAGAAAACCUUACGGUUAAUACCCGUAAGGCUUGACGGUACCAUCAGAGGAAGCACCGGCUAACUCCGUGCCAGCAGCCGCGGUAAUACGGAGGGUGCAAGCGUUGUUCGGAUUCACUGGGUAUAAAGGGUGCGCAGGCGGCCUUAUAAGUCAGAGGUGAAAUAUGUCGGCUCAACCGGCAAACGGCCUCUGAAACUGCCAGGCUUGAGUUCGAGAGAGGUAGGUGGAAUUCCUGGUGUAACGGUGAAAUGUGCAGAUAUCAGGAAGAACACCCGUGGCGAAGGCGACCUACUGGCGCGGAACUGACGCUGAGGCACGAAAGCUAGGGUAUCGAACGGGAUUAGAUACCCCGGUAGUCCUAGCCGUAAACGAUGUCUACUAGGUGUCGGGGGUUUCUCCCCCCUCGGUGCCGCCGCUAACGCAUUAAGUAGACCACCUAGGGAGUACGAUCGCAAGGUUGAAACUCAAAGGAAUUGACGGGGGCCCGCACAAGCGGUGGAGCAUGUGGUUUAAUUCGAUGCAACGCGAAGAACCUUACCGGGACUUGACAUCCAAGGGACAGGCGUAGAGAGCCGGCGUGCCUUUCGGGCCGCUGGACAGGUGCUGCAUGGCUGUCGUCAGCUCGUGUCGUGAGAUGUUGGGUUAAGUCCCGCAACGAGCGCAACCCUCGAGUUUAGUUGCCAUCAGGUUAUGCUGGGCACUCUAGACUGACUGCCGGUGACAAACCGGAGGAAGGUGGGGAUGACGUCAAGUCAGCAUGCCCCUUACGCCUUGGGCUACACACGUCCUACAAUGGCCGGGACAGAGGGCAGCGAAACCGCGAGGUGAAGCGAAUCCCAGAAGCUUGCCUCAGUUCAGAUUGCAGGCUGAAACUCGCCUGCAUGAAGGAGGAAUCGCUAGUAAACGCAGAUCAGCAUGCUGCGUUGAAUACGUUCCCGGGCCUUGUACACACCGCCCGUCACACCACGAAAGUUCGUUCAACCCGAAGUCGUCAGGCGAACCCGCGAGGGGCGCAGGCGCCGAAGGUCGGCGUCGCGAUUGGGGUGAAGUCGUAACAAGGUAGCCGUAG
rnacentral:rRNA from 1 species